UUGCUCAGUAACACGUGGAUAACCUGCCCUAAGGAAGGGGAUAACCUCGGGAAACUGAGGAUAAUACCCUAUAGGUUACAGACGCUGGAAUGCCCUGUAACCGAAAGCUCCGGCGCCUUAGGAUGGAUCUGCGGCCGAUUAGGUUGUUGUUGGGGUAACGGCCCAACAAGCCGAUAAUCGGUACGGGUUGUGGGAGCAAGAGCCCGGAGUUGGAUUCUGAGACACGAAUCCAGGCCCUACGGGGCGCAGCAGGCGCGAAAACUUUACAAUGCGGGAAACCGUGAUAAGGGAACCUCGAGUGCCUGUAUAUGCAGGCUGUCCAGGUGUCUAAAAAACACCUGAAGAAAGGGCCGGGCAAGACCGGUGCCAGCCGCCGCGGUAAUACCGGCGGCUCGAGUGGUGGCCACUUUUAUUGGGCUUAAAGCGUUCGUAGCUGGGUUGUUAAGUCUCUUGGGAAAUCUGACGGCUCAACCGUCAGGCGUCCAAGGGAUACUGGCAAUCUUGGAACCGGGAGAGGUGAGGGGUACUUCGGGGGUAGGAGUGAAAUCCUGUAAUCCUCGAGGGACCACCUGUGGCGAAGGCGCCUCACCAGAACGGCUUCGACAGUGAGGGACGAAAGCUGGGGGAGCAAACCGGAUUAGAUACCCGGGUAGUCCCAGCCCUAAACGAUGCGCGUUAGGUGUAUCGGUGACCACGAGUCACCGAGGUGCCGUAGGGAAGCCGUGAAGCGAGCCACCUGGGAAGUAUGGCCGCAAGGCUGAAACUUAAAGGAAUUGGCGGGGGAGCACUACAACGGGUGGAGCCUGCGGUUUAAUUGGAUUCAACGCCGGAAAUCUCACCGGGGGCGACAGCGAUAUGAAGGUCAGGCUGAAGACCUUACCCGAUUAGCUGAGAGGUGGUGCAUGGCCGUCGUCAGUUCGUACUGUGAAGCAUCCUGUUAAGUCAGGCAACGAGCGAGACCCACGUCCACAGUUGCCAGCAUACCCUCCGGGGUGAUGGGU
rnacentral:rRNA from 1 species